GCUUUCGUAGUGUAACGGGUAACACACUUGGCGUGUAUUCGAGAGGUCCAGGUUCGAGUCCUGACGAGGGCA
rnacentral:tRNA from 1 species